UACGUAGGUCCCGAGCGUUGUCCGGAUUUAUUGGGCGUAAAGCGAGCGCAGGCGGUUAGAUAAGUCUGAAGUUAAAGGCUGUGGCUUAACCAUAGUACGCUUUGGAAACUGUUUAACUUGAGUGCAAGAGGGGAGAGUGGAAUUCCAUGUGUAGCGGUGAAAUGCGUAGAUAUAUGGAGGAACACCGGUGGCGAAAAGCGGCUCUCUGGCUUGUAACUGACGCUGAGGCUCGAAAGCGUGGGGGAGCAAAACAGGAUUAGAUACCCCCGGGUAGUCC
rnacentral:rRNA from 1 species